UACGGGGGGGGCAAGCGUUGUUCGGAAUUACUGGGCGUAAAGCGUGCGCAGGCGGUGAUGUAAGACAGAUGUGAAAUCCCCGGGCUCAACCUGGGACCUGCAUUUGUGACUGCAUCGCUAGAGUACGGCAGAGGGGGAUGGAAUUCCGCGUGUAGCAGUGAAAUGCGUAGAUAUGCGGAGGAACACCGAUGGCGAAGGCAAUCCCCUGGGCCUGUACUGACGCUCAUGCACGAAAGCGUGGGGAGCAAACAGG
rnacentral:rRNA from 1 species